GGGGACUGUGGGCUGGUUUCCAGGGACACCAGCUGUUCCCUCAAGUGACCGGGUCACCAGUCAGACCCCAGCUCAGGGAGCACUGGUGUGGGAGUCGGGAGGCCUAGCUCUUCAAUAAUCUCCUGGGUGACCUGGGGAAGCCUCACCCCUCUCUGGGCCAAAGGUGCCCAGAGGGGCCCACUGUCCCCAAUAGGGCUCCAUCCACAGAGCUCAGCCUGCCUGCCAUAGCCGCCGAUCAGCCAGGACCAGCUGAAUCACUGCCUCCUGUGUCUGGCUCUGCCAUCGAGCAGGUCUGAGCCCUCACAUGCCCUCCUUGGGGCUGUGUUGCCCCUCACCUCACCUCCAUUUGCCUUUUCUGGAAAGCCAAGGCAAGCUUCCUCGAGUGAGAAACUGACGGUGAGCUCCCUGAGGGCAGGACUGGGGAGGUGCAGUUCACUGCUUUCACUCUGGCCUGCUCAGGAAGUCCAAAGCCUGCGGAGUGUUCCUGCUCUGUGAAGUCCCGCAGGGCAGACCCAUCGCAGAGGAGCUGGCUGGCCAACGACCCUCCUCCUGGGGCCCCUGAGGAGCAGAGCAGGAGCACACCCCCUGAGAUGCCCCAGGAGCAGGAGGAGCCACAAGGAGAUGGGCCAACAUCAGCCUUUGAACCCACGGGAAGGAGAAAUGACAGCAGUUACAGUCAACUCUGCUAUGCAAACGUUGGGGGCUACAAACGAGAUCUGCAGGGGCAUGAACCCAGCUGCCCAUGGCUGUCCCUGGGCCUCCCCUUUAGUGAGAAGAUGAGAGACUGCAGACAACAGCCCCCAGCCCUGCCGCUCCUUUGUGGGGAUCAUGGCACCCGUGGCCAGCUCGGCUCUGGGGAACCGUGAUUCCACUCACCCUGCGGAAAGCCACCCACUGCGUCCUGCCCGCACGCCACGUCCUCCCCAAACAGCUGAGCCUGUGCAAUGUGAGAGGGGAGACGCUUGCCAGAGGUUUCCGGAAAGCAUCCAGAGGUCACUCUGGGCUGGCUCAAGUGGAUCGGGCCCUGACCACUGCUCUGAAUAGGCACUGUCCCACCCUGGGGCCACUCCCUCAGCACCAGAGCAGGCUAAUUGAUGGGUGGGGAGGUGUGGAGGGCUGGAAGCUGGUUUGCAGCUGAAGGAGGCAAGAGGGGAGCCAGGCAUUUGACUCAGCAGCUGACAAAUAUGAGAUGCCAAGAGAAGGUGGAGGGGAGCAUCCAGAUCUUCAGCCCCAAACUGCCUGCCCAGGCCCAGACCCCAUCUACACACCCAACCCAAUCUCUACAGCCGGCCUACCCACCCCCCUCCCUAACCAGCAAGCCCCUUACCUCCCAUGCCACCAUCGACCCUCUCAGCCAAUACCCAACCCACCCAGCGCUCAGAACACACACUCCCCACCCCCACCUGCUCUCACAAUACUCACCCUGCUCAGCUACAGCCUGGGGUGUGUGCUUCCCAUCUGGCUACCCAAGUGAACACCCUACUUAGGGCAUCUCUGGCCCACACCCACUCAGCCUUCACCAGGCCUAUCUCUCUCUGAUGCCCAGCCUACCAACCCAACUGCUGGCCAGCCCACUCGGCACCCAGUCAGCUCCUCAGCACAAUUCCAACCUGCCCGCGGGACCCCUAACUGCCCAUCCAUAACAUCAACCAACCACUAGUCCACUUACGCAGCCCACCCACAGCCCCAUUUCAUAAAUCAGAGCCACUGUGUGCAGAGCACCCUCUGGGUGCUAGUAAACGCAGACCUCCAGCUCCUCCAGCACUGUCCCCGAGUCAUCUCAGAGGCCGUGUCCUGGACAGAGUAUCCUCUACUCAAGGCUCAAAGGAGCAGGGCAUGUGGGGCCGGCCACUUGCAAAGACUGCUCCCACGCCCCUCACGGCUCAAGUGAGGAGAGCACGAGAUGGCUUUCCACACAUUUCACGUCUUCGACUGCAAAAUCUCCUGGGAAAGACAAGAAGUUGCAAAAACUAAGAGGCAGUUGAAGAGGUCGCCAGCAAAUGAAGCUCAGGAGGCCAGACAGACGGACAGAACUCCCCGUCUCCCUCAAUGCCAAAGAAAGGAAGGCUGAGUGGACUGAUGCAAGGGCCCCGGGCAAGGAUUAGGACACCUGGCUUCCUCUCCUGGCCCCACCAGUCAUGAGGGACCUUGGGCGCCGGACUGUAGGAGUCAGGGGUUCUGGGUGUAGACCCAGCUAUGACACUCACCAUGUGGUCUUGAGCAAGUCACCUUGGGCUAGAGAGUCUUUGCCAGGAGCUUGGCUAGGUUCCUGGUCCUCUCUGUCCUCGGCACUCCAGUUCCAACCAUGGGGCUCCUGCUUCAUCUGCUGACCAAACCCCACCAAGUGCAUGGCUUCCACGUCACCCCCAGUGCUGAGCAGGAGGAGAAGCAGGCAGGGAGGCCUCUCCAAGGGCUCCCGAGAUGAAGACAUGUCAGCAACAUCCACAUGGCCAGACUCCCCAGCCCAGGGAGGGCAACUAAGCGUUAUUUCACACGCCAGCACCCACUGAGGGCUAGUUGCUGCUUGGAGCACAGUUCAGAGGAGGAUCCUGUGCUCAGAGAGGAAGCACCAAGAUCAACCAAGUGAUGUCAGUAGAGGGAAUAGGGAAAGGGGACACGAAUGCCAGGAACUUGGAAACCCUAAUGAAGGCCCAUGCCAGCCUCUGGGUUUGUGUCCCUGUUGUUAUCCUCAAGCCUAUAGUAAAGUCUGGUUUAAACAAGCCUCUGUCAAUUGUGCUACCGGAAACGAAGGCGGAAUGAUGAGUCUGCUCCUGGGUCAGACAGCAAAUGGGAGACAGUGCCCCCCGAGGUCAGCAUGACG
ensembl:lncRNA